rnacentral:rRNA from 1 species
AGAGUUUGAUCCUGGCUCAGGAUGAACGCUGGCGGCGUGCCUAACACAUGCAAGUCGAGCGAGAAAUCUUGAAAUGAAACUUCGGUAGAUUUUUAAGAUGGAAAGCGGCGGACGGGUGAGUAACGCGUAGGCAACCUGCCUUAUGCAGAGGGAUAGCCAUUGGAAACGAUGAUUAAAACCUCAUAACGCCGGAGAGUCACAUGGUUUUCCGGCCAAAGAUUUAUCGGCAUAAGAUGGGCCUGCGUCUGAUUAGUUAGUUGGUGGGGUAACGGCCUACCAAGGCGACGAUCAGUAGCCGACCUGAGAGGGUGAUCGGCCACAUUGGAACUGAGACACGGUCCAAACUCCUACGGGAGGCAGCAGUGGGGAAUAUUGCACAAUGGGCGAAAGCCUGAUGCAGCAACGCCGCGUGAAGGAAGAAGGCCUUCGGGUCGUAAACUUCUGUCCUAUGGGAAGAAAAAAAUGACGGUACCAUAGGAGGAAGCCCCGGCUAACUACGUGCCAGCAGCCGCGGUAAUACGUAGGGGGCGAGCGUUAUCCGGAAUUAUUGGGCGUAAAGAGUGCGUAGGUGGUAACUUAAGCGCGGGGUUUAAGGCAAUGGCUUAACCAUUGUUCGCCCUGCGAACUGGGAUACUUGAGUGCAGGAGAGGAAAGCGGAAUUCCUAGUGUAGCGGUGAAAUGCGUAGAUAUUAGGAGGAACACCAGUGGCGAAGGCGGCUUUCUGGACUGAAACUGACACUGAGGCACGAAAGUGUGGGGAGCAAACAGGAUUAGAUACCCUGGUAGUCCACACCGUAAACGAUGAGCACUAGGUGUCGGGGGCGCAAGUCCUCGGUGCCGGAGUUAACGCAUUAAGUGCUCCGCCUGGGGAGUACGUACGCAAGUAUGAAACUCAAAGGAAUUGACGGGGACCCGCACAAGCAGCGGAGCAUGUGGUUUAAUUCGAAGCAACGCGAAGAACCUUACCAGGGCUUGACAUCCCUCUGACAGACUCUUAAUCGGGUCCUUCUUCGGACAGAGGAGACAGGUGGUGCAUGGUUGUCGUCAGCUCGUGUCGUGAGAUGUUGGGUUAAGU